rnacentral:lncRNA from 1 species
CUCAAUACUUGGGAGGCAGAAGCAGGUAGAUCUCUGAAUUUGAGGCUAGUUUGGUCAAACCCUGUCUUGAGAAAGAAAAACAACAACAGCUCUCGGUUUUAGCGCCAUCUUCCUUGAGACUCCUGAGCCAUAAGAGCGAAGUGGCAGAAGAAGAUAAUGUGCAGGCUGAAGCGCAAGAGAAGAUAAGGCAGUGGUCCAAGUUAGCCAGCCGGUGCAGCCACGACGCCUGCAGGAGCAGAAGUGAGGGAUGCUGAGGGCCGGGACAAGCUAUCGGACUGUGUGCUGCCAUUGGUAAUGAGUCUCAGUAGAACUGGAAUGUCACCUCGCCACGAUCGCCUGGAGAAAUGACCUCCUUUCUUAUAACCAAAACAGUCCCGCUGGCCCUCUGCCCUGGACCCCCGGCACUCUGGACUAGCUCUGUUCUCUUGUGGCUAAGUGUAGCUCGUGUACAAUAAACCCUCUUGCAGUCAGCUGAAAAAAAAAAAAGGAAAAGAAAAAGAAAAACAACAACAACAACAAUAGCGACAGCAGCAGCAGCAGCAGCAAUCAGAACAACAGCAACAGAGCAGAGAAUCAGUAAAGCCACAAUCUUGACGUUAACCAGAGAGCUCACUGAAGAAUUAAGAGCCCUGGACAGGAGGUCAAGUCCACAGAGAAGA